rnacentral:rRNA from 1 species
UACGUAGGGUGCAAGCGUUGUCCGGAUUUAUUGGGCGUAAAGAGCUCGUAGGCGGUCUGUCGCGUCGGAUGUGAAAACCCAGGGCUCAACUCUGGGCCUGCAUUCGAUACGGGCAGACUAGAGUAUGGCAGGGGAGACUGGAAUUCCUGGUGUAGCGGUGAAAUGCGCAGAUAUCAGGAGGAACACCGGUGGCGAAGGCGGGUCUCUGGGCAGUAACUGACGCUGAGGAGCGAAAGCGUGGGUAGCGAACAGG